rnacentral:rRNA from 1 species
GACGAACGCUGGCGGCGUGCCUAAUACAUGCAAGUUGAGCGCUGAAGGUUGGUACUUGUACCGACUGGAUGAGCAGCGAACGGGUGAGUAACGCGUGGGGAAUCUGCCUUUGAGCGGGGGACAACAUUUGGAAACGAAUGCUAAUACCGCAUAAAAACUUUAAACACAAGUUUUAAGUUUGAAAAAUGCAAUUGCAUCACUCAAAGAUGAUCCCGCGUUGUAUUAGCUAGUUGGUGAGGUAAAGGCUCACCAAGGCGAUGAUACAUAGCCGACCUGAGAGGGUGAUCGGCCACAUUGGGACUGAGACACGGCCCAAACUCCUACGGGAGGCAGCAGUAGGGAAUCUUCGGCAAUGGACGAAAGUCUGACCGAGCAACGCCGCGUGAGUGAAGAAGGUUUUCGGAUCGUAAAACUCUGUUGGUAGAGAAGAACGUUGGUGAGAGUGGAAAGCUCAUCAAGUGACGGUAACUACCCAGAAAGGGACGGCUAACUACGUG